GUAGCCCAACACUUAGUGCUCGAUGGCGUUACUUUUCUUGUUUCUCCCUUCUUCAGGGAAAGAGGACUCCACAUAGAGAAGCGGAGUAAGACGUGGGGAGAGUAUAUCGGGCGGCAUGGGGCCCAGACGAGCCGAGGGACUGAGGCUCAGGAGCCCCCGCUGUCCUGGGGGGCUCGCCUUCGAAGGCGGAGGCGUGGCUGAGCGCGGUGCUGAGUCAAGACCAUUAUGUGGAUGUUUAAUUCCAGAAAAGGCAGUCUCGUUUCAUAGGAAAGAUCAGUUCUGCAUGGAUGACCUUUCGUAACUCGAGAAUCAUUGAAUAGGAAUAAAUGUAAAAAGUGGAAGAAAUAAUUUUCAGAGCACAUAGAUCUACAGCUAUUGGAACUGUUUUUUGUGUUGUUGUUUUUUUUUUGCUUUAAUAUACUUUAUUUUAUCAGCAUUUUCACUGUGUUUUUUUUUGAAUGCAUAUAAAUUAAUAGUUCACAUGU